CCUUCUAACCACCCGCGCUCUCACACUUUGCCUCCGCUCCGCCGUUUCCAUGGCUCCGGUUUCCUACUUUCCUCUUGUCUCCUCCGUCCUCAGCCUGUUCUGUAAUGUGGGAUUUACUAGAAGAGCAGGGCUGGUGUUCGAGGAGGAGAAGUUGAAAUCCUAGAGGGAGGAAGGCGGGGAAGCCAAUACUACUUGCUAUUUCCACUGCAAUGAACGUCUCUGUGUCAUCAAAAUAAGAACUUCAACCCCAAGGUUGAAACAGCCAAGCAGAAUUUGAUGGAAAUAUAUUUAGGAACAGCUAAAUUAGCAGUGCGACGCGUGUUUUCUUUUCAUUGAAGAAUUCAGCCAGUUAAAACGAGUCUAAAUGGAAGUCUGAAAGCUUUUUCUUCAUUGUUGAGGAAUAAAAUAUUUCGUGUAUUUUUCGUUUUCCAGAUUCAUUCAUUUAACAAAUAUCAGUUGAGCACUUUCCAUGCCGUAGGGCCUGUACAAGGCACAUAGCAUUCUAGACAUCUGAAGCAUCAAAACUAAUCAUUUUUAUUUUGAAGAAAAUCACUCAAAAUAUUUUAUGUACUUUGUGCCUUUCAUGAACAGAAUAUUCCAAGCAUUCUCUGCAAAAUACGCAUGAAAACAAUUGGGAGAGAAGAGGUCAAUUAUCUUUGAGAAGCCCAAUUACAGAAUGAAAUUCAAUUCAUUAUUAAAAAUACAUGGAUCUAAUAAAGAAUAAAUAAUUGGAAAAGAAAAGUUUAAGGAAGAGAGAAACGGGAAUGAGAAACAAUUACUGUGGGCUCCCAAUGGCCUGGAGUGAAUCACCAAAGUAACCUAAACAUGAAGUCAUGAAAAACUAAGUGGAUUCUGCCUUUUAGUACUUCCCAUCAUGGGGGAAGUCACCAGCGACCUCCUUACUGUAUUUUGGAUGAUUCAAGAAAUAGAAAGGUGUCCUACUGACUUCUGAAACAGGGUGUCUUCAUAUUGAUUAGGGUCACCGUAAGCCUGGGAGCUGAUGCUUACUCUCAGGCCAUUCUAAAGUCCUACAGUAUCCAGAUGAGAAACGAGAGAAAGCAUAAGCUUUGGAGUCCAAAGAUCAGGAUUUUAGCGUCAGCACUCCACACCUUAGCUAUACAAUCUCAAAGCAGCCUGCACCUGUGGCCUCAUGGCGCAUUCUCUACAAUCAGUUGACAGAGGAAGAGAAGACUCAGGCCUGGUUUACAGAUGAUUUUGCAUUCUACGCAGAUCUUAUCACAAUGAAUAAUUUGGUUCUCUCAUCGACUACACGAGGA
rnacentral:lncRNA from 10 species